rnacentral:lncRNA from 1 species
AGAACUCAACCAUGAUUAUUGGAAGUGUUAAGUUGAAGUCAAAGAGUGCAGCCUUUUCUAUUUCUUCAGCUAAAGAAGGUGGUGCGAAGGUUAAAGAAGUGGCUGCAAUGAGAGAGAGGGACUUAAGAGUGGAAGUCGAGAGAGACAGGAGUUGGGGUUUGGUGAUUUUGAGGAGUUUAGGGAAGGAAAGUCGUGGGAUUUGGAGUUUGGGCUUGGAGUUGGUGGGGAGGGAAGAGGAUGAGAGGGUGAUGAGAGGUUUGGAGGUGCCCAUGAUCAUGUUGGCCAUGGCUGAUGACUGAAGACCAAAAUUUGGAGUCGUAGUGUCCUUAGGAGUGUGAGAGGUGAUGACUGUUGAUGGUGGAAUUGGUAGAUUUUGUGUGGAAAUGGAGAGGGGGUUUUGGGAGGAGGGGUUAUCUCUCUCUUUGCCACUCAAAUUGAUGA